AACCCAUGAUGUGGACACUUCCUUAGUAAUUCUUUGUAUCUCUCUCAUGCCUUAUAUAAUGAUUCAGACUCUUUCUGUAGAAAAGAUGUGAUAUCAUUUCUCAAUUU